rnacentral:rRNA from 1 species
AUUGAACGCUGGCGGCAGGCCUAACACAUGCAAGUCGAACGAGUGGCGGACGGGUGAGUAAUGUCUGGGAAACUGCCUGAUGGAGGGGGAUAACUACUGGAAACGGUAGCUAAUACCGCAUACCAUCGGAUGUGCCCAGAUGGGAUUAGCUAGUAGGUGGGGUAAAGGCUCACCUAGGCGACGAUCCCUAGCUGGUCUGAGAGGAUGACCAGCCACACUGAAACUGGGACAGGGUCCAGACUCCGCCGGGAGGCAGCAGUGGGGAAUAUUGCGCAGUGGGCGCAAGCCUGAUGAAGCCAUGCCGCGGGUAUGAAGAGGGCCUUCGGGUUGUAAAAUAGUUUCAGCGGGGAGGCGUUAGCCGCAAAAGAAGCACCGGCUAACUCAGUGCCAGCAGCCGCGGUAAUAC